rnacentral:hammerhead_ribozyme from 1 species
AUCCAACUGACGAGUCCCGAAUAGGACGAAACGCGCGUCCUGAAU